GAUGAACGCUGGCGGCGUGCCUAAUACAUGCAAGUCGAGCGAACGGACGAGAAGCUUGCUUCUCUGUUGUUAGCGGCGGACGGGUGUGUAACACGUGGAUAACCUACCUAUCAGUCUGGGAUAACUUCGGGAAACCGGAGCUUAUCCCGGAUAAUCUUUUGCACCGCAUGGUUCAAAAGUGAAAGUCGGUCUUGCUGUCACUUAUCGCUGGAUCCGCGCUGCAUUAGCUAGUUGGUAAGGUAACGGCUUACCAAGGCAACGAUGCAUAGCCGACCUGAGAGGGUGAUCGGCCACACUGGAACUGAGACACGGUCCAGACUCCUACGGGAGGCAGCAGUAGGGAAUCGUCCGCAAUGGGCGAAAGCCUGACGGAGCAACGCCGCGUGAGUGAUGAAGGUCUUCGGAUCGUAAAACUCUGUUAUUAGGGAAGAACAUAUUUGUAAGUAACUGUGCACAGCUUGACGGUAACUAAUCAGAAAGCCACGGCUAACUACGUG
rnacentral:rRNA from 1 species